rnacentral:rRNA from 1 species
UGGGGAAUAUUGCACAAUGGGCGCAAGCCUGAUGCAGCCAUGCCGCGUGUAUGAAGAAGGCCUUCGGGUUGUAAAGUACUUUCAGUCGUGAGGAAGGUGGUGUUGUUAAUAGCAGCAUCAUUUGACGUUAGCGACAGAAGAAGCACCGGCUAACUCCGUGCCAGCAGCCGCGGUAAU